AUUUUCCUUACUGUAAAACAUUACAGCAUCCCUGUAAAUGAAACGCUGUAAUAUGUUUUUACAGUAAGGAAAAUAGUACUGUAAAAUAUAUUACAGCUUCUCUGCUAUAAAGUAAAUUACAGUAUUAAGCUGGCAACUCCGAUGCCAGUAUAAUGCUGUACAUUUACAGGGAAAAGUUUUACAGUGUAGAUAGAUAUAUUAAGGGAGAGAAAGAAAGAGAAAAGGGGGGGGCUGAGAUGACAUGCUCCUAUGCUCAGGCUGGGCUUUAUUAGAGAGGGACCAGGCAUCACAAGACAAUGUGUAAACAGGAAACAGCACAGACAGAGCUGGGGAUAAAAAUAAACCGAAAGUCUCGUCAUCGCUGCUGGGCUGGUAAACCCACUCACACCCUCUCAAACCAAGGUUGGGUAAGAUUAUCUUGUAAAACGAGUACUGUAGAAUCAAGUGCAGUAUAGGCUUGUGUAUGUUUGGGUGGGGCUAGUAUUGAGAUGUAUUUGUUUAGAGUUCUCGAUCUCUUGAAAUUGGCUUGUUGGGUCUUACAGGAGCAUCAUUUACUUUAUGUUUCACAAGGCUGGAUUAGGGAGGUAUUCGUACAAUACUAUGGGAGAAAGAAAGCAAAAAUACAAGAGGGAAGAAGAUAUGAAGGAAUCUACUGGUUGGAAACCAGCAAACAAAAUGGGCUGGUGUUUGAUGUAUUAUCACGUACAAGCAAUGUGUAACUUUGGCUUGGAAAGAGAUACAUGUCCCCGGGCAGUGCUUGAUGACUAUGAGAAGCUUUUCACACACUGAACACCCCACACAGGUUUGAUAAAUGUGCCCUUUUAUUGUUGAAGCCAGUAAAAUGGAGACUUCCUGCAGCCCUGGGUGUGUUCAGUGACAGCGGGUAAUGUGAUAUCAUUUUCACUGCUCCAGCAGCAACGCUGAAUGGGCUGUGGUGUGGGAGGGAGCAGCAAAAAUAAAGAAGACUGGUCAUUUCCUCUCAUCCGUCUCUCACAGCAACUGCCUCCCAUAAUCCUCCAACUACUGUCUGUUGGUCUCAUUAUCAUAUGUCAUUUGUAAGUAUGAUAAUCAAUGGGUUAUAGAAAUGGGAUAAUCAUCACCAGCAUCAUCAUCAGAUGGUGUGGGUGGUACUGUACCAUUGUCACCGUUGUUAUCUUGGUUAGCAUACAUUAGCAUAAGCAUAGAAUAUCCUAGAAUGAUCUUCCAGUAUAGCAGUGCUUUAGGAAAGCUUGGAACCAUGCCUGGCACAAUGAAAGGGUGCCUGUAAGCAAUACAUUUUCAUUGACCAAUACUAUGGGGGUUCACUGGUGGCCCAGAGUUGCUGACACAAAGCGGAACAUUUUACAUGGCUUAUGAAAGUGUGACUAAUGCCUAAGGGAUAAUCUCACAGUCUGUUUGGGUCUGCAAGUGACUUCGGAGCCCCUGAAUGCGCUUCUCCAAUGGAAAGGUGCUUUUCACUCUGAUUUUGGGGGCGAGUUGAAGAGAGAAUUGCAAAGCCCAACCAUACCGUGAUCACCAUCGUGACUACUCACAGGAAAUCAACCUCCCAUACAAACAGAGCUGAACGUCCGUCUUCGGCCACUCAUUCCAUCACAGAGAGCAGGUCACAAAUGUAUUGCAACGCUGUAUGGAUACAUUGUGUUGUCAUAUUGCCAGGAUGGCAUAUUUUCUAACCCAGCUUGUUAGCGGAUGAUUCUUAUCCACCCUACUCCUGUUAUGUGCAACUCCACACUACUCCUUUCUACUUGAAUUAAGGCUAUUUUACACCUCUCAACCAUGGACAUUCAGUCACUUAGAUGUUUCAUUGCAUAAAAGAGAGCUGCUAAGCAACUGAAAAUACACCUUCAGGUCCACUCUGGCCUUUAAUGUAGUCCUUUUAUGCUUUUUGAAUCAGGUUUCAGUUUUCUCCUCUGAGCAAUUUGUGUUCUGCCGUGAGAUACGGAUGUUCUUUAUGGAACUUGACAUUUUAAUUGUGCUGCCUUGUCUUGUCCCCUCUACUUCGCCUCUCUAUUACCCCACCCUAACUUGACAAAACUUUCCAUGCAAUUGAUUUCCUGUUUUACAUUUCAGUUGAUCUAAAGGCAUAGAUGUUGAUUUGAACUUUUUUAUGAUUGAACUUCGCCAAGUAAAUUGACUGAGAAGUUUUCCUUCACCGCAGCAAUCGUGGGGGGGAUACGCUGCAAUAUGUGACAUUGCUGUAAGGCCAGGGAGGACUGUCAUCUCCAAUGAGAUGUGUUACUGAAAGUUCUGGUUCAGUUUCACAGAGCAUGUUAAUGGCGGAACCCAGAACCAAACCUUGUGUGCCAGUCUGUCAGGAGAGACUAGAAGCAUGUGGAUCAGUCCCAGUGAAGCACCUAUAUUCAUGAGUGCAGAUUGACAAACAUGACAGCAGCCGUUCUCUCCUCUGGGUAGAGGAGCGUCCAAUCACGCCUUCAUUUCCAGCCCAAGCUCCAGUCACUGGGCUGCACAUGCUGAAGCAGACACCCCGUUUCUUUCAAGAAUAGACUGAUGCUGGACACUAACGCAAGCCCCAAAAAAUAAUUUGGUGCAAUGUCUAUGUUGAGAACCCUGUUGAGAUUGUAUCUGUCACAACUGAGUAAACGAUCAAAUGAAUAAGAAAUAGUAUCCUACCCUUUAUUCAUCUGCUCUAUCUGUGCCCUAGUCAGGUAACGAUCCCUCAUCCAAUGCAAUCCCACAACUCAGCCAAGCAGCAUUUGUCUCGCUGUUGCCAUAGAGACAGAGACAUAGAGGCAUGCCAUCUUCAGAUUGAGUUCCUUUUUCUCUUGUUAUUUCAGUGAUUUCAUGUUAUUUGAAUGAUAGGCUUAAAAAAUUGUAAUGUUUGUUUCAGAUGUCUAUUGUCUAUUAACUGCUUUCACCAGGGCAGUUGUUGUCUCGAAAAUGUGAGUUACAGUGUCACUAGUCUGGAUAAAACAAAAGAUACGUGAAUGCUGAGGUGUACACUCUGAGCUCCCACACUGUAAAAAAAAUCCUGUUGUUUUUAUGGCAGCCUGUAUGUUACUGUAAAAAAAAGUACAAUAUGUUAUUGUAAAUUCCAAAGAAACUUUUGUUAAACAGCACAUUCUUGUACUGUUAAAUCAAAUUAUGUGCU
rnacentral:lncRNA from 13 species